UCCGGUUUGUCACCGGCAGUCUCAUUAGAGUGCUCAACCGAAUGUAGCAACUAAUGACAAGGGUUGCGCUCGUUGCGGGACUUAACCCAACAUCUCACGGCACGAGCUGACGACAGCCAUGCAGCACCUGAACCGGAAGUCCCCGAAGGGAGAAAGUCAUCUCUGACCCUUUCCUCUGUAGUUCAAACCCAGGUAAGGUUCUGCGCGUUGCUUCGAAUUAAACCACAUGCUCCACCGCUUGUGCGGGCCCCCGUCAAUUCCUUUGAGUUUCAGUCUUGCGACCGUACUCCCCAGGCGGAGUGCUUAAUGUGUUGACUUCGGCACAGCAGGGGUCGAUACCCGCUACACCAAGCACUCAUCGUUUACGGCGUGGACUAC
rnacentral:misc_RNA from 1 species